UUAGUACAGCUUGUUAUGGUUCACUAGGUUUACAGUGUACUGAACAUAGACUAAUCUGUACAGCAUCAACAGUUAUAUCAAUAACUAAUAUAACGUUUGGAUAUAGAUAAUUCUGUUCACCUGUAGGUAUAUGUAUUAAUACAAUAUGUUGCAGAGAACUGACUGGAGAUUGUUUUACACCUUACAACCAAACUCUUCUAUCACAGCUACAACAAACAUGUAAUGGGCGAUCAACUUGUACUCUUAAUGGAAAUAAUGGCUUGAAUGAAAGAUCCCCACAUUGUGAAUUUACUAUUACAGCUAUAUUUCAUUCAUACAGCAAGAUAGAAUAUCAGUGUAGUACCAUAGUUACAACAGAAUCAACAGCCGAUAAUGAAACUCUGGGUGGUGCAGAAACAGCGUUUGUUGAUGGAGGUAAAGAAGUAGCUAUUGUUGGUGGAUGUGAAGAUCUAGCUAUUGUUGGUGGAAUAUUAGGAACAGUUAUAGUCAUCUGUAUUGCCAUCAUUGUUAUACUAGUAGUAUACUUCAACAGGAGGUUAUCGAAGGUGAAUUCAGCGUCGCACCAAAAUGAUCGCCAAUAUGACUCAGCACCAACCAGAUCUAGAGAUGAAUCCCCGACUGUGUACAAUUCAUUAAAUACAGGACAACAUUCAACUAUAGACGGUGGAAAUUCACAAAUCAACCAGAACAACCAGCAUUACGAACACCCGUAUGAUGCGGCACCAAGGGAACAACAGAUCAACCAACUGUUGUUUAUGAUUCUUUAAAUACACGAGAACAAACUGGUUAUUAUAAUAUGGGUAACAUCAACACAGUUAGCAGUUAAAUACAAUUAUUCAGUGGGGGUUGGUGUGGUAGUGUAUUCCCAAUUAUGUUUAUAAUGAUGAUUCUAUAACUACUGAACACAGGCAAUGGAUGAACACAAAUACGAUAUUGCAGCUUCAAUAUACAUAAUUAUAGCUUCAAUAAAGAUGUUGAAUAAUGACGCUAUGGUUAGGCUGUCGUCGAUUACUGGUUAACACCAACCCCUCCGCCCAUAUGAAUACAAUAUCGUAAUAAUGUCUUGCACCAAUGACCACACGAACACCCCGUGCAACAUUCUCGGCCAACACCGACAGCAAACCCCGCCCUCCGGGUUGGAUUAGUGCUUUACUCACCGAGCUACCGUGGCCCUCCAGCUACAAACAUAUAGUUUCUUUGUUGAAGAUAUACGAUGUUUUAUUAUACCGUUUGUGUAUGACAGGAGUAGAUUAAUUUCAUACUAACUUUGUGUUUAUUUUUUUCAAGGAAAACUAAUAUGGAAUAAAUAAAAAAUAUUUUGAUAUCGAUACCCGUUAUCUGUGUAAAUAAUAUUUAUACUAAUACAAUGUUUUGAGAUUAAUAAUACAGUGUUUAUUUAUUUACAUGGUUCUAAAUUCAUUAAAAUCAUUUUACGCUAAUUCAGUUGUGAUCAUUUGGAUAUGCUUGUAAAAGGGAACGUAAUAAUUUAUGCGUACUACAAGUACUACCACCUUCCACUGUUGAUGUACAGUGGUCAGUCAGGGGUCCCAUGCACGCUUAAUGUAAGCCUGAUUGUUAAUCUGUAACUAUUGUAUUAUAUAAUAUUACUAUUAGAUUAUAUAAUA